AUUGAACGCUGGCGGCAGGCCUAACACAUGCAAGUCGAGCGGAGCGGCGGACGGGUGAGUAAUGCCUAGGAAUCUGCCUGGUCGUGGGGGAUAACGUCCGGAAACGGGCGCUGAUACCGCAUACUAUCAGAUGAGCCUAGGUCGGAUUAGCUAUUUGGUGGGGUAAAGGCCUACCAGGGCGACGACCCGAAACUGGUCUGAGUGGAUGAUCAGGCACACGGGAACUGAGACCCGGUCCAGACUCCUACGGAGGGCAGAAGUGGGGAAUAUUGGCCAAUGGGCGAAAGCCGGAUCCAGCAAUGCCGCGGGUGUAAUGAAGGUCUUCGGAUUGUAAAGCACUUUAAGUUGGGAGGCGUUACCAACAGAGUAAGCACCGGCUAACUUCGUGCCAGCAGCCGCGGUAAUAC
rnacentral:rRNA from 1 species